AUUGAACGCUGGCGGCAUGCUUUACACAUGCAAGUCGAACGGCAGCGCGGGCUUCGGCCUGGCGGCGAGUGGCGAACGGGUGAGUAAUACAUCGGAACGUGCCCAGUAGUGGGGGAUAGCUCGGCGAAAGCCGGAUUAAUACCGCAUACGACCUGAGGGUGAAAGCGGGGGAUCUUCGGACCUCGCGCUAUUGGAGCGGCCGAUGGCAGAUUAGCUAGUUGGUGGGGUAAAGGCCUACCAAGGCGACGAUCUGUAGCUGGUCUGAGAGGACGACCAGCCACACUGGGACUGAGACACGGCCCAGACUCCUACGGGAGGCAGCAGUGGGGAAUUUUGGACAAUGGGCGGAAGCCUGAUCCAGCAAUGCCGCGUGUGUGAUGAAGUCCUUCGGGUUGUAAAGCACUUUUGGCGGGAACGAAAAGGACUGUGCCAAUACCACGGUUCGAUGACGGUACCCGCAGAAUAAGCACCGGCUAACUACGUG
rnacentral:rRNA from 1 species